CAGUAGCCGCGGUAAUACAGAGGGUGCGAGCGUUAAUCGGAUUUACUGGGCGUAAAGCGUGCGUAGGCGGCUAAUUGAGUCGGAUGUGAAAUCCCCGAGCUUAACUUGGGAAUUGCAUUCGAUACUGGUUAGCUAGAGUGUGGGAGAGGAUGGUAGAAUUCCAGGUGUAGCGGUGAAAUGCGUAGAGAUCUGGAGGAAUACCGAUGGCGAAGGCAGCCAUCUGGCCUAACACUGACGCUGAGGUACGAAAGCAUGGGGAGCAAACAGGAUUAGAGACCCCUGUAGUCCCUGUCUCUUAUAA
rnacentral:rRNA from 1 species